CCUACGGGCGGCAGUAGUGAGGAAUAUUGGUCAAUGGUCGGGAGCCUGAACCAGCCAAGUCGCGUGAAGGAAGAAGGUACUUAGUAUUGUAAACCUCUUUUGUCGGGGAACAAAGGCGGGGACGCGUCCCCGGAUGAGUGUACCCGAAGAACAAGCAUCGGCUAACUCCGUGCCAGCAGCCGCGGUAAUACGGAGGAUGCGAGCGUUAUCCGGAUUUAUUGGGUUUAAAGGGUGCGCAGGCGGGGUGUCAAGUCAGCGGUAAAAGCCCGGGGCUCAACCCCGGCCGGCCGUUGAAACUGGUAGUCUAAAGUGGGAGAGAAGUAUGCGGAAUUCGUGGUGUAGCGGUGAAAUGCAUAGAUAUCGCGCAGAACUCCGAUUGCGAAGGCAGCAUGCCGGCUCCAGACUGACGCUGAGGCACGAAAGCGUGGGGAUCGAACAGGAUUAGAUACCCUGGUAGUC
rnacentral:rRNA from 1 species